UACAGAGGUCCCGAGCGUUGUUCGGAUUCAUUGGGCGUAAAGGGUGCGUAGGCGGCGGGCAAGUCUGAUGUGAAAUCCCGGGCUCAACCCCGGAACUGCAUUGGAUACUGCCUUGCUAGAGUACUGGAGAGGAACUGGAAUUUACGGUGUAGCAAGUGAAAUGCGUAGAGAUCCGGAGGAACACCAGUGGCGAAGGCGACACGCUGGGCCGUACCUGACACUGAUGCGCGACAGCAUGGG
rnacentral:rRNA from 1 species